rnacentral:lncRNA from 1 species
UGUGAUGCAGCGAAGCAGUGCCAAGGAGCUGAUGGUACUCGCUUGGUGACAACCUACAUGGGGUGACAGAGAAAAACGUGGCAAAGCUAGGUAACUGCUCUUUUAGGCGCCUUUCUCUGAAGGUAGCACUACUUAUAGUGAUUAUCAGUGCUAUACAUUGUGAGUACACUGUAGCUGUCUUCAGACACACCAGAAGAGGGCACCAGUUCCCAUUACAGAUGGUUGUGAGCCACCAUGUGGUUGCUGGGCAUUGAACCUAGGACCUCUGGAAGAGCAGUCACUGCUCUAAACGGGUGAGCCAUCUCUCUAGCCAAAUGUUAUAAAUUGUAUUGACAAAAACAAGGCACUUCAAUUUGCUAAUGUCUGGAAACUCCAGGAUUUCCACUUUUUAAAGAAUUAUUUUUAUUUUAUGUGUAUUUGCUCUUCCUGUGGACAUGUAUGCUGUGUGUGUGUGUGGUGUGUGAGACAGUACCUGAAGAGGCAAGAAGAGGACACUGGGACCUGGGAUUACAGAUAGUUUUGAGCUGCCAUGUGUGUGCUGGGAACUGAACCCAGGUCCAGUGCAAGAGCCGUAAGUGCUCUUCAUUGGCUGAACUGUCUCCCCAGCUCUAGGAUUUCCACUUUGUAAUUUUGUAAGUAAUAUUUUUAUAUAUUCAUUUGUAUUAAAUUUUGAGGUAAAAGGAAUAACAGUACAAAGCACAGUAUAUGAACGUGGCAAAGCUAUAAUUUAAUGAAGAGACCCAGCAAUUUACAAUUCCCUGCAAUGACAGUUUCUUAGCUAUACUUUGUAUUUUUGAGAACUUACUUCAUUUUAACUGACUCUUUACUGCAUUAACCUGAUUAAAAAAUCCCAACCAUGCCAUAUCUUUCUGUUUUCUCUUUCCAUAUUUUUGUAUAACUUAAAAAAAAAGAAAUAGUUAUUACUCUACCUCACGCACAGUGUCUUUACCCAUAUGUAGCAAGUGGCUGAUCCUGGCCCAGAAGCUCAGAGGCCGAGCCCAGCUCCUUAAGGACGUCAGUCAGAGAUGAUGUGCAUUGGAUCUGGCUGGUUACAUGGUGCACUCACCACAUACACAUGAUUAGAUGUCAGUAAGGAAAUAAAACUCACUUAUUAUUCAUUCCUCUACAUUCAUUCUUGGUGUCUAAGGUAUAUGCAGUAGUACUGUUGUAGCUACAGAGUGCCAGCUAACACCCAGGCUGCCUUUCUGAUGGUGUUUCUAGCAUAGGUAAGGAGACAUACAAUUAAUAUUAUAUUCUUUUCUAACACUCAGUUUGGUUCUUAGAUUUUGUGAAUUACCAGUACUUAAAAGUCUGGGUUUAUUUAUUAACAAAGACUAUGUACCAUAGUCUUUGUUAAAUUUGCUUGAGCUUCUUCAGUGAGGGUUGCUCCCAGGUAACUCUUAUUCCUGAACAUGUGUCCUCUGCAGUGUCUUCGGCUUCCUACUGCAGUGAUGACAGUAUUUGCUAAAAGUCUUACAUUUCUUGAAGCUUCUUUUCAGAAAGAGCUCUUGCUGUGUAACUGUUUCCUCUGAGACUGAAACAUCCUAUCCUGCAGGAACGCUCCUUAGGUAAAUGACUCAAAUGAGCUUCAGGAAGGCUUGAAAUUGCUAGGUUUGCUGGGCCCUCCCUGCUAGAGCAAGCAAUAAAAGCGGAGAGUCUAGAGCUCAGUGGAACAGAGCUGCAAAGAAGACCCCGAGGCCACACCAGCUCCCUGAAAGAAGAGAAACCAGAGGAGCUGCCUGCAAGAGUUCUAGAGCAACUGAGGCCGGCACCUUGAAAGGACACUUCAAGGACCUGUCGAACUGCCUGCAGACUGCGGUGUGCUCUAUGUGGUCCUGCUGGGAUGGAAGGGUAUCCUGGAAGCCCAGGAACCACACAGCCGAGGGAGAAGGUGUCCCAAGGGAAGGGUAUCCUGAGACGCAGGAACUCAGCAAUCGCACAUCUCUGGAAGGAAGCCUGCUCAGCAGAGGCAUCCCAGCUCCCAGGGGAGCGCGCCCAGCUGUGCCGAGGAGCCCAGGAGCCUCAGCCCGCUCCGCUUCUUUGCUUCUUCCCUUCUUCUCAUUGCUUCGCAGCUUAUUCCAAGGCAGCAAAUCUCAUAAAAGAGAUUUAUUGGACGGUCCAGGGAGUUGAGAAAAGGCCAGGACUUACAUAGAAUUUCGUAGGGGAUAGAGCUUUUCAGGACAGAGAUUUUCAGAUUGAAGAUUGGUGAGAUUUCAAGUCCUGAUUUUUUUUUAAAGAUUUAUAAUGAGUACACGUAGCUGUCUUCAGACACCAGAAGAGGGCAUCAGAUUCUAUUACAGGUGGUUGUGAGCCACCAUGUGGUUCCUGGGAAUUGAACUCAGGACCUUCAGUAGAGCAGUCAGUCAGUGCUCUUAACUGCUGAGCCGUCUCUCCAGGCCUCAAGUUCUGAUCUUGGGGAGGUUGGAGAUUGGUGGGUUUUCCUGCGCAGGGAUUGGUGGCUUUUUUCCACCUCCUCUUCCCUCCAUUAGUUCCAUUGGUUGGGAUGGGAAGUCCUUCCUGGCUGUGGUGGCUUUGGCUGAGGCACACUGGUGAGCUGUGUGGGAGUUGGAGAGAGAUGGCCAUGAUGGACAGCGCCAGCUAUUGCAGGCUGAGGCAGGAAAGGAGACACACCACCAUGGACAGAUCUGCCACAGCUUCAAGCCAAGGAGAUGCCACCCUUUCACAGCUCUUGUGGAGGCUCCUACAAAGGCCAUCUCUGGGGCAGAAGGGAGGGAAGGCGUGGCUCCUCUUCGCAGGGACUAUACCAGGUUCCUGGCUUUGUGAGCUGCCACUCAUGCUCUGGUGUGUUUUUGUGAUGCAGUUGUGUUUUGAGUCAUUUCUGCUUCUGUAAGUAGCCCUAAUAAAACUCAUAGGUCCAGUACAUUGGACUUUGAGGGUAUCCAUAUUGUGUCCUGUUGAGUGUUCCUUAUAAAGUGAGUAGAUUUGUGUGUUGUAUCUUCCCAGGAAAAUUUUUUUCACAUAACUUGCCUGAGUCAGACAAAUUAGCAUUACUUGAAAACUAGCCAGAAAUACAAAUUCUUGGUCUCCACUCAGAAGUCACUAAAUGAGAACUGUGGCGGCAGGAGUUGACAAGACAACAACCCUUCUGGGGAUUCUGACACUGCUUGGAUAAUACAUGAACUUGACUCAGCCCUUGUGUUCCUUCCUUAGCAGAGCUGACCACGAAACGCAACACCUCCAGAUCACUUCCAUAGGUGUGGCUGGUUUUGCAUGUGUUGUGUAUGCAUGUGUAUGUGUGUGAGAAGGCACACGCAGACCUGUGUCCAUGGAGGUCACAGGAGGAUGUCUAGUGUCCUCUAGUGUCUCUCUCCCCUUACCUCCAGCCUUAUUGCCUUGACCUAGGAUCUCUCACUGAACCUGGAACUUGCUGCGCUGGUGUCCAAUGAGCCUUAGCUGUCAUCCUUAGCCCUCCUUGUGCCAAUGCUGGGUUCACAGGUGUGCCAAGAGGCAUGCCUAGCUUUUGACCUGAGUGCUGCAGGUUCAAACUCAGGUGUACAGAAAGCACUUAACUCACAGAGCCGGCUUCUCCAGUUAGCCUGGACAUUUAACCCUGAUUUCUGUCAGUUCUGUUUUUAAAACUCUGCCUCUUUAUAUCCUGCUAGCCUUCAAAUGUUUUAUGUUUGAUUAUACAAUAUUAUGCAGUGUUUUCUCAUCUUUUGGUUGCAUCCUGCUAUUUUUUGUUCUUUUAUAAGAAAGUAAAAAAGAUUUUUUAAAAUGCUCUAUCCAAUGUACAUGAUUUUUGAUAAUAUGCAUUUGAUAAUAUGCACUUAUCUUCUACUUCAGG